AUGAACGCUAGCUACAGGCUUAACACAUGCAAGUCGAGGGGCAGCAUGAGCUUAGCUUGCUAAGCUUGAUGGCGACCGGCGCACGGGUGAGUAACACGUAUCCAACCUCCCGCUUACUCAGGAAUAGCCUUUCGAAAGAAAGAUUAAUGCCUGAUGGUAUCUUAAGCACACAUGUAAUUAAGAUUAAAGAUUUAUCGGUAAGCGAUGGGGAUGCGUUCCAUUAGGUAGUAGGCGGGGUAACGGCCCACCUAGCCGACGAUGGAUAGGGGUUCUGAGAGGAAGGUCCCCCACAUUGGAACUGAGACACGGUCCAAACUCCUACGGGAGGCAGCAGUGAGGAAUAUUGGUCAAUGGGCGCGAGCCUGAACCAGCCAAGUAGCGUGAAGGAUGAAGGUCCUACGGAUUGUAAACUUCUUUUAUACGGGAAUAAAGUGGCCUACGUGUAGGCUUUUGCAUGUACCGUAUGAAUAAGCAUCGGCUAACUCCGUGCCAGCAGCCGCGGUAAUACGGAGGAUGCGAGCGUUAUCCGGAUUUAUUGGGUUUAAAGGGAGCGUAGACGGGGGAUUAAGUCAGUUGUGAAAGUUUGCGGCUCAACCGUAAAAUUGCAGUUGAUACUGGUUCCCUUGAGUGCAGUUGAGGCAGGCGGAAUUCGUGGUGUAGCGGUGAAAUGCAUAGAUAUCACGAAGAACCCCGAUUGCGAAGGCAGCCUGCUAAGCUGUAACUGACGUUGAGGCUCGAAAGUGUGGGUAUCAAACAGGAUUAGAUACCCUGGUAAUCCACACGGUAAACGAUGGAUACUCGCUGUUGGCGAUAUACUGUCAGCGGCCAAGCGAAAGCAUUAAGUAUCCCACCUGGGGAGUACGCCGGCAACGGUGAAACUCAAAGGAAUUGACGGGGGCCCGCACAAGCAGUGGAGUAUGUGGUUUAAUUCGAAGCAACGCGAAGAACCUUACCAAGUCUUGACAUCCCUCUGACCGACUCUUAACCGAGUCUUUCCUUCGGGUCAGAGGAGACAGGUGGUGCAUGGUUGUCGUCAGCUCGUGUCGUGAGAUGUUGGGUUAAGUCCCGCAACGAGCGCAACCCCUAUCCCCAGUAGCCAGCGGUUCGGCCGGGCACUCUGAGGAGACUGCCAGGGAUAACCUGGAGGAAGGCGGGGAUGACGUCAAAUCAUCAUGCCCCUUAUGACCUGGGCUACACACGUGCUACAAUGGCGCAUACAAAGAGAAGCGACCUCGCGAGAGCAAGCGGACCUCAUAAAGUGCGUCGUAGUCCGGAUUGGAGUCUGCAACUCGACUCCAUGAAGUCGGAAUCGCUAGUAAUCGCGGAUCAGCACGCCGCGGUGAAUACGUUCCCGGGCCUUGUACACACCGCCCGUCACACCACGAGAGUUUGUAACACCCGAAGUCGGUGAGGUAACCUUUUGGAGCCAGCCGCCUAAGGUGGGAUAGAUGAUUGGGGUG
rnacentral:rRNA from 1 species